GAAGAAUUCUUCGUCGGCCAGAUCUGUGCAAUGCUAAUUUCAAUCACAUCUUUGACCAUGUUCAUUGAACAAUGAGCCUGUGCAGGUAGGUGAACUGAUCCAUGGAUGUCACAAGCACCUACUUGCUGGGCCUAUGCCUUCGUCUCCUGCAGCAUACGCAGCGGCCUCGACCACACUUCAAUCAUUCAGGCCACAGCCUUAGAGGAAAGUGAACUGUAGUGCCGCUGCCUUGGUCAAACUUAAGAAAUGAAUGGGGAGUAUUUUGUAGAAACACAUAUGCUUUAUCUGGUCAUUAUCAUAGCUGCAAGGUGACGUGUGUAGGCAAUGAAGAGCAACGGAACUAAAUAGGACGUCAUGAGAAAAAAAACACAUGCAGCUAUCACGAGCCUAAUAUGCAAGCUAAUAAAUGUUUGUGUUUAUGCACAAUAAUUUGACUUUCAAGAAUUUGACCUUUACAUAUUACCUUCUAGAAUGUGACUUCUUUGUAACUGUUUGUUUCAUGGAAGAAGUUGUGACGUCCAACUAU